rnacentral:sRNA from 1 species
AGGCUAUAAAUGUCCCUCCAAAUGCUUAUCUAGUGGAAGGUUAUCUGGCUGUGAACCGGAGAAAAGGCUCCAGUAAAAAACUACAUGUUUAAAUCUCAAACCAAAAGGUUUCCAACAUUUAUCUUCAGGCCAAAAGAAGGCCCUUCUCCCGAUGCAUACAAUGUGAAGGAUACAGCUCCUAAGAUGCCAGCAGUAACCUCUUGCUUCAGAUCAAAGACUCCAAGAUUUCAUUCCCGUUCACUCGGUAGUCAGCUGAUCAACUUCUUUCAACACAUUCAGUGCUUGCAGUUUAAUUGGCACUUAAAACAGUGGCUUAGUUAUGCACCUAUUUGUCAACUAAUAUUCGUCAUUCAAAAGUAAAAUUUAAGAGAAAAUUUACUUUCAUAAAUAAAUUUUCAUUUUUGAUACUCCCCUUUAUAUUAGAAUAUAUUUCUAAAGAAAUAAAAUAGUUUUUUAAAGUAAAGUAUUUAAUGCAUACAUUUGUAUUUAAACAAAUACUAACAGAACAAAAAAAAUGUACAUACAAUUGUGAAGUAGCUCAAAUGAAGAAAAUGACAGGCUAAAGAUUUUAUGAUGAAAAAAUUACAAUAUCCCAUCAAACUUUUGAAGCAUUUUAAAUUUGUAUGUACUUUUAUAUGAGUGCAGCUCUCAAUGUAACUUCUCAAGCUUUAUUAAUUGUACAUACUUUUGUAAAAAAAAAUGUGCAUUUCUUGUGACUUGCAGUGGGGCACACAGUUUUGCACUUUGUUUAUUUGUUGAUCAUGUCACAGUAUUAUCUUCACUAUCUCAAGAUCACAUCUUUGUUUUUUUAUUCUGUUCCCUACCUAGUGCUUGAGCUAACAUGAUAGUGCAGUAGUUUUACUUUUAUAUUUACAUGUUUACCACUUGUUACUAAAACAUAAAAAGUUGUAUUUGUCUAGGUCAGUGUUUCCCAAACUGUGUUCCGCGGAGCCCUUGUGUUCCAUGAGGCCUGAAUAGAUGGGAUAAUUAACUAAAAGGCCACCAUCUGAAUUAACCUCUCUAGAAAAAUAAGCAAAGUGUUCUGCUAAAGACUCAGAAUGUGUGAAAUGUUUAGUUGAGGAAA